rnacentral:rRNA from 1 species
UACGUAGGGGGCUAGCGUUGUCCGGAAUCAUUGGGCGUAAAGAGCGUGUAGGCGGUCCGGUAGGUCCGCUGUGAAAGUCGGGGGCUCAACCCUCGAAUGCCGGUGGAUACUGUCGGGCUAGAGUGCGGAAGAGGCGAGUGGAAUUCCUGGUGUAGCGGUGAAAUGCGCAGAUAUCAGGAGGAACACCUAUUGCGAAGGCAGCUCGCUGGGACGUAACUGACGCUGAGACGCGAAAGCGUGGGGAGCAAACAGG